GCUGUGAUGGCCGAGAGGUUAAGGCGCUUGGACUUGAAAUCCAAAUGGGGUCUCCCCGCCAAGAGGUUCAAACCCUGCUCACAGUG